rnacentral:rRNA from 1 species
UUGAGUAGGGAAAGUUUUUCGGUGUAGGAUGAGACUAUAUAGUAUCAGCUAGUUGGUAAGGUAAUGGCUUACCAAGGCUAUGACGCUUAACUGGUCUGAGAGGAUGAUCAGUCACACUGGAACUGAGACACGGUCCAGACUCCUACGGGAGGCAGCAGUAGGGAAUAUUGCGCAAUGGGGGAAACCCUGACGCAGCAACGCCGCGUGGAGGAUGACACUUUUCGGAGCGUAAACUCCUUUUCUUAGGGAAGAAUUCUGACGGUACCUAAGGAAUAAGCACCGGCUAACUCCGUGCCAGCAGCCGCGGUAAUACGGAGGGUGCAAGCGUUACUCGGAAUCACUGGGCGUAAAGGGCGCGUAGGCGGAUUAUCAAGUCUCUUGUGAAAUCUAAUGGCUUAACCAUUAAACUGCUUGGGAAACUGAUAGUCUAGAGUGAGGGAGAGGCAGAUGGAAUUGGUGGUGUAGGGGUAAAAUCCGUAGAUAUCACCAAGAAUACCCAUUGCGAAGGCGAUCUGCUGGAACUCAACUGACGCUAAGGCGCGAAAGCGUGGGGAGCAAACAGGAUUAGAUACCCUGGUAGUCCACGCCCUAAACGAUGUACACUAGUUGUUGGGGUGCUAGUCAUCUCAGUAAUGCAGCUAACGCAUUAAGUGUACCGCCUGGGGAGUACGGUCGCAAGAUUAAAACUCAAAGGAAUAGACGGGGACCCGCACAAGCGGUGGAGCAUGUGGUUUAAUUCGAAGAUACGCGAAGAACCUUACCUGGGCUUGAUAUCCUAAGAACCUUAUAGAGAUAUGAGGGUGCUAGCUUGCUAGAACUUAGAGACAGGUGCUGCACGGCUGUCGUCAGCUCGUGUCGUGAGAUGUUGGGUUAAGUCCCGCAACGAGCGCAACCCACGUAUUUAGUUGCUAACGGUUCGGCCGAGCACUCUAAAUAGACUGCCUUCGUAAGGAGGAGGAAGGUGUGGACGACGUCAAGUCAUCAUGGCCCUUAUGCCCAGGGCGACACACGUGCUACAAUGGCAUAUACAAUGAGACGCAAUACCGCGAGGUGGAGCAAAUCUAUAAAAUAUGUCCCAGUUCGGAUUGUUCUCUGCAACUCGAGAGCAUGAAGCCGGAAUCGCUAGUAAUCGUAGAUCAGCCAUGCUACGGUGAAUACGUUCCCGGGUCUUGUACUCACCGCCCGUCACACCAUGGGAGUUGAUUUCACUCGAAGCCGGAAUACUAAACUAGUUACCGUCCACAGUGGAAUCAGCGACUGGGGUGAAGUCGUAACAAGGUAACCGUAGGAGAACCUGCGGUUGGAUCACCUCCUUUCUA